rnacentral:rRNA from 1 species
UACGUAGGGUGCAAUCGUUGUCCGGAAUUAUUGGGCGUAAAGAGCUUGUAGGCGGUUUGUCGCGUCUGCUGUGAAAUUUCGGGGCUCAACCCCGAACUUGCAGUGGGUACGGGCAGACUAGAGUGUGGUAGGGGAGACUGGAAUUCCUGGUGUAGCGGUGAAAUGCGCAGAUAUCAGGAGGAACACCGAUGGCGAAGGCAGGUCUCUGGGCCAUAACUGACGCUGAGAAGCGAAAGCAUGGGGAGCGAACAGG